GGCGAUAGUGGAGAGAGAGAGGCAGCCCGAAUAGCGGCAAAGACGAUGCAAGGCAGAGGGAGGGGAUACUGAGCAGCGAAGCCGCAAAAGGCAGCGAUGGAGGAGGAAAGGCGAAGAGGAGAUCAGAUCUUGACGGAGAGGGAGAGAAAGUCGAGAGCAGGAGAGGAGGGAGGGCUCGAUAACGUCAAAGAGAUCGGAAUUUCGAUGGAGGGAUCUCGAUGGAGAGGGAGAGC
rnacentral:lncRNA from 1 species